UAGCAUAUCAAUAAGCGGGGGGAAAAGAAACCAACAGGGAUUGCCCCAGUAACGGCGAGUGAAGCGGCAACAGCUCAAAUUUGAAAUCUGGCCCCUUUGGGGUCCGAGUUGUAAUUUGUAGAGGGUGCUUUGGCGUCGGCCGUGGUCUAAGUUCCUUGGAACAGGACGUCGCAGAGGGUGAGAAUCCCGUAUGUGGCCGCCGGCCUUCGCCGUGUAAAGCCCCUUCGACGAGUCGAGUUGUUUGGGAAUGCAGCUCUAAAUGGGAGAUAAAUUUCUUCUAAAGCUAAAUAUUGGCCAGAGACCGAUAGCGCACAAGUAGAGUGAUCGAAAGAUGAAAAGCACUUUGGAAAGAGAGUCAAAAAGCACGUGAAAUUGUUGAAAGGGAAGCGCUUGCAGCCAGACGUGCCCGCAGUUGCUCACCCGGGCGCUCGCCCGGGGCACUCUUCUGCGGGCAGGCCAGCAUCAGUUCGGGCGGUUGGAUAAAGGCCUCUAUCACGUACCUUCCUUCGGGAAGACCUUAUAGGGGAGGCGCAACACGGCCAGCCCGAACUGAGGACCGCGCAUUCGCUAGGAUGCUGGCGUAAUGGCUGUAAGCGGCCCGUCUUGAAACACGGACCAAGGAGUCUAACAUCUAUGCGAGUGUUUGGGUGUCAAGCCCGGGCGCGCAAUGAAAGUGAACGGAGGUGGGAACCCCCCCGGGGUGCACCAUCGACCGAUCCUGAAGUCUUCGGAUGGAUUUGAGUAAGAGCAUAGCUGUUGGGACCCGAAAGAUGGUGAACUAUGCCUGAAUAGGGUGAAGCCAGGGGAAACCCUGGUGGAGGCUCGCAGCGGUUCUGACGUGCAAAUCGAUCGUCAAAUUUGGGCAUAGGGGCGAAAGACUAAUCGAUCCAUCUG
rnacentral:rRNA from 1 species